CCCUUAGAUGUUCUGGGCCGCACGCGGGCUACACUGAUGCAUUCAACGAGUCUAAAACCUGCUCUGAUAGGGGUGGGUAAUCUUUUGAAUGUGCAUCGUGAUUGGGAUAGAUGAUUGCAAUUUUUCAUCUUCAACGAGGAAUGCCUAGUAAACGCAAGUCAUCAGCUUGCAUUGAUUACGUCCCUGCCCUUUGUACACACCGCCCGUCGCUCCUACCGAUUGAAUGAUCCGAUGAAUAUCAUGGAUUGAGGAUGCAAGCAGGUUCGCCUGUCUUCAUCUUCGAGAAGUGAAGUAAAUCUUAUCAUUUAGAGGAAGGAGAAGUCGUAACA
rnacentral:rRNA from 1 species